ensembl:lncRNA
CUGGAGAGGGUGUGUGGGGUUAGCUUAGCUAUAAUUAGCUUGAGAGGGUGUGUGUGUGUAUAUAAGGGGUUAGUUAUAAUUAGCUGGAGAGGGUGUGUGUGUAUAUAAGGAGAUAGUUAUGAUUAGCUGGAGAGGGUGUGUGGGUAUAUAAGGGGUUAUUUAUAAUUAGCUGGAGAGGGUGUGUGGGUAUAUAAGGGGUUAGAGAUAGUUAUAAUUAGCUGGAGAGGGUGUGUGGGUAUAUAAGGGGUUAUUUAUAAUUAGCUGUAGAGGGUGUGUGGGUAUAUAAGGGGUUAGAGAGGGAAAGGAUUGC